rnacentral:rRNA from 1 species
UACGUAGGGUCCGAGCGUUGUCCGGAUUUAUUGGGCGUAAAGAGCUCGUAGGCGGUUCCGUAAGUCAGAUGUGAAAACUCAGGGCUCAACCCGGAGACGCCAUCUGAUACUGCGGUGACUGGAGUCUGGUAGGGGAACACGGAAUUCCUGGUGUAGCGGUGAAAUGCGCAGAUAUCAGGAGGAACACCGAUGGCGAAGGCAGGUCUCUGGGCAUUAACUGACGCUGAGGAGCGAAAGCAUGGGGAGCGAACAGG